UACGUAGGGGGCAAGCGUUGUCCGGAUUCAUUGGGCGUAAAGAGCGUGUAGGCGGCCAGAUAGGUCAGCUGUGAAAACUCGGGGCUCAACCCUGAGACGUCGGUUGAAACCACUCUGGGCUAGAGUCCGGAAGAGGAGUGUGGAAUUCCCGGUGUAGCGGUGGAAAUGCGCAGAUAUCGGGGAAGAACACCCGUGGCGAAGGCGGCACUCUGGGUCAAGAUUGACGCGUCAUGCACGAAAGCGUGGGGAGCAAACAGG
rnacentral:rRNA from 1 species